rnacentral:lncRNA from 1 species
CGACCUCACCAUAAGUCACGUAUUAAUCAUCGCUAGCUACCAUGUUUCAACUAAUCAAGAUUCAUUAACUAAUACAUUAGAUUCCUAGCCAAGCAUUACCAGUAUACAAUUAAUAAAAUUAUAAGCAACAUGCCACAUCUUCCCCCAUCCCAUACCGGAGAGAUGUGUAUACAAACAUAUAUGUAUUCAUAAACUAUAAUUGUAUCCUUUACACUGAUAAACACUCCUCAGAUAUUCAAUCAUUAUCAUAACACAACCCUUGG